AAGAGCUUGAGUUUAGAAUUUCAAAUCCUAAUUACUGGCAAAAGUUGAAAGGUGGAUAUCAAUGGAUCCUCGGAGCGGCAUUGAUAUAUUAGCACGAGCAAAGAGCUGAUGGUGUUCUUAUGAUUCUUCUGAACAAUCGAUACAUUGUUACGGUCAAUUUUGAAUUCCGUGCAAAUAAUCCAAUCAAAUUAACUGCCUCCAUUUUGCCAUUUUUCAUCUUCCCCAGGGAAGAUGGUAACCAUUCCUCAACCCUCAACUUUCCAGACGCCUUCCCUUCACUGUGCUUCCAGAAGCAGGAAAAGCAGGAAACAGAAACAACUAGAACAAAGGCACAAACAACUCCACCAAAACAGAAAUAGAACCGCCCUUUCUUUCCCAAGUUCAUUCCCAACCCCACUACUAAUCAACCACAAACCUCAUACCCAGACCAAACUACAAGCCUUGGACAAUGUCGUUAAAGACCUCGAAUACUCUAUUGGAAAGGGCAUAAAAAUCGAUACCCAAAUCUUCUCUUCCCUCUUAGAAACAUGCU
rnacentral:misc_RNA from 1 species